UACGUAGGUGGCAAGCGUUGUCCGGAUUUACUGGGCGUAAAGAGCGCGCAGGCGGCUGGUCAAGUCCGAUGUGAAAUCUCCCGGCUCAACUGGGAAACUGCAUCGGAAACUGAUCGGCUUGAAGGUGGGAGAGGGUAGUGGAAUUCCCGGUGUAGCGGUGAAAUGCGCAGAUAUCGGGAGGAACACCAAUGGCGAAGGCAGCUCGCUGGGACGGUACUGACGCUGAGACGCGAAAGCGUGGGGAGCAAACAGG
rnacentral:rRNA from 1 species